CUGAAAGCUAAGAUUGUUUCGCAGCAGAAGAAGGACUCCUGGCAGUUAUGACCAUCCAUCCCUGGAUGCUGGCCCCCGUGAACAGUCAGCACCCUGCACUCCCAGAGUAGCAGAGAGGAGGGUGGGGCAGCCUCCAAACCUCCUCCCCAAAGAGCAGUUAAGAACCCCAGAAGCUGUGCCCUGGAGCAGGAGGGAAGAGAAGCAGGAUGUAUUGUGUGUUCACUAUGGGUGAGAUGCUUUCCACACGGCCCCACACAAUUCUGAAAGACCUGCUCUCCCAAGAUGGGUGGACUCUCUGCUGUCCAGCACAAUGGGACAUUGUCUGCUUUUCUGCUUCCCACAAUGCCUCACGUACUCCUGUGCCCCCACCAUCGUGACUGAGCAUCUAAACCACAAGUUCAGAAAACGCUCCCGGACUGCUCAACCCUCAGCCAUAUUACUAUUCGGUGAUGGGCAUUUAGAAUUACUUGGGUCAGCUGCCGACCUAUCUUCCCACCUGGACUGCAAGCUUCUAAUUCCUCCUACUUCACAUGAGGUGCCAAAUACAAGCGUGCUCAAAGAGUGAAGGUGUGCACGGGGCCACCCAGGGAGAAACAAAGCCAGGUAGCUUCCCUUCAAAUCGAGGCCAAAGCCAGAAGUGCCCUCAUUGUGCGGGCAGCCGGCCUUGGGUAAGAGGUCUGUGCCCUGACAACCUGACCCGGAGACGAUCUCCCAAAGUAGAGGUCUCGGUGGGAAGCCCAGCCUCUAUGAGGCGAGAACCGGAACGGCGAGGCUAA